rnacentral:rRNA from 1 species
AUAUUGGGCAAUGCCCGCAAGGGUGACCCAGCAACGCCGCGUGGAGGAUGAAUGUCGUAAGAUUGUAAACUCCUGUUAGAGGGGAAGAAUAGUACCGGUUGGACCGGUAUAUGACUGUACCCUCAGAGAAAGCCCCGGCUAACUACGUGCCAGCAGCCGCGGUAAUACGUAGGGGGCAAGCGUUGUCCGGAUUUACUGGGUGUAAAGGGCGCGCAGGCGGGAUAAAAAGUCAGUGGUGAAAGCCUGCAGCUUAACUGCAGAAUUGCCAUUGAUACUGUUAGUCUUGAGUACAGUUGAGGUAGGCGGAAUGUGUCAUGUAGCGGUGAAAUGCUUAGAUAUGACACAGAACACCGAUUGCGAAGGCAGCUUGCUAAGCUGUAACUGACGCUGAGGCACGAAAGCGUGGGGAGCAAACA